UCCCCGUUGCCGAGGCAGUCUUGCAAGAAAAAUCUAACUUGCAACGAGGGUUGCGCUCGUUAAGGGACUUAACCCUACAUCUCACGACACGAGCUGACGACGGCCAUGCAUCACCUGUCACCAGUCCAGCCGAACUGACUCCCGCGUUUCUGCGAGAUACAACUGGGAUGUCAAGUCUUGGUAAGGUUCUUCGCGUAGCCUCGAAUUAAACCACACGCUCCACCGCUUGUGCGGGUCCCCGUCAAUUCCUUUGAGUUUUAAGCUUGCGCUCGUACUCCCCAGGCGGGAUGCUUAACGCGUUAGCUUUGCUACUGAACGGGUCGAUACGUCCAACAGCUAGCAUCCAUCGUUUACGGCGUGGACUAC
rnacentral:misc_RNA from 1 species